GGGCACGCCCGUUGAUCAAGAGCGAAAGUUAAGGGUUCGAAGACGAUCAGAUACCGUCGUAGUCUUAACUAUAAAUGAUACUGACCAGGGAUAGGACUCUGUCCAUCUCGACUCCUCCUGGACCUUUGAGAAAUUAUAGUCUUUGAGUUCUGGGGGGAGUAUGGUCGCAAGGCUGAAACUUAAAGGAAUUGACGGAAGGGCACACAAAGAGUGGAACCUGCGGCUUAAUUUGACUCAACACGGGAAAACUCACCAGGUCCAGAUACACGUAUGAAAGACAAGCUGAAAGACUUUUCUCAAUGAUGUAAGUGGUGGUGCAUGGUCGUUCUUAGUUCGUGGAUUGAUUUGUCUGGUCUAUUCCGAUAACGAGCGAGACCCCGGCGUUCCUAAUAGGGGUAGCAGCCAGGCUCGCCGCGCAAGCGGCUUGCUAGCACGCUACCUAAGAUGCUUCUUAGACGUAUCAGAGCCGAUAAGGUUCUUGAAAUGGGUUAAUAACAGGUCAGUCAUGCCCUUAGAUGUUCUGGGCCGCACGCGCGUUACAAUGGUAAACAUUAGAAAGUGCUCUAGCGGCGUUUCCGCAGCCGACGGGUUGUGGUAA
rnacentral:rRNA from 1 species